rnacentral:rRNA from 1 species
UACAGAGGGUGCAAGCGUUGCUCGGAUUUACUGGGCGUAAAGCGUACGCAGACGGUGAGAAAGGUCGGAUGUGAAAGCCCCAGGCUCAACCUGGGAACUGCAUCCGAAACCAUCUCGCUCGAGUGUGGGAGAGGGAAGCGGAAUUCCUGGUGUAGAGGUGAAAUUCGUAGAUAUUAGGAAGAACACCAGUGGCGAAGGCGGCUCACUGGCCCGGUACUGACGCUGAGGCGCGAAAGCGUGGGGAGCAAACAGG